rnacentral:misc_RNA from 1 species
GAUGAAGAACGUAGCGAAAUGCGAUAAGUAAUGUGAAUUGCAGAGUUCAGUGAAUCAUCGAAUCUUUGAACGCACAUUGCGCCCGUCAGUAUUCUGACGGGCAUGCCUGUCCGAGCGUCAUUUCAACCCUCAAGCACUGCUUGGCGUUGGCGGAUUGCGUGCCCUCGCGGCGCUGCAACCGCCCAAAUACAGUGGCGGUCCCGCUGCGGCUCCCUUUGCGUAGUAACUCACCUCGCACUGGACCGGGCGGCGGCCUGCCGUAAAACCCCAACUCACGAAAUGUUGACCUCGGAUCAGGUAGGAAUACCCGCUGAACUUAAGCAUACAAUAAGCGGAGGA